ACGAAGAGUUUGAUCCUGGCUCAGGAUGAACGCUAGCGACAGGCUUAACACAUGCAAGUCGAGGGGCAGCGGGGGUAGCGAUACCCGCCGGCGACCGGCGCACGGGUGAGUAACGCGUAUGCAACUUGCCUAUCAGAGGGGGAUAACCCGGCGAAAGUCGGACUAAUACCGCAUGAAGCAGGGGCCCCGCAUGGGGAUAUUUGCUAAAGAUUCAUCGCUGAUAGAUAGGCAUGCGUUCCAUUAGGCAGUUGGCGGGGUAACGGCCCACCAAACCGACGAUGGAUAGGGGUUCUGAGAGGAAGGUCCCCCACAUUGGUACUGAGACACGGACCAAACUCCUACGGGAGGCAGCAGUGAGGAAUAUUGGUCAAUGGGCGUAAGCCUGAACCAGCCAAGUCGCGUGAGGGAUGAAGGUUCUAUGGAUCGUAAACCUCUUUUAUAAGGGAAUAAAGUGCGGGACGUGUCCCGUUUUGUAUGUACCUUAUGAAUAAGGAUCGGCUAACUCCGUGCCAGCAGCCGCGGUAAUACGGAGGAUCCGAGCGUUAUCCGGAUUUAUUGGGUUUAAAGGGUGCGUAGGCGGCCUUUUAAGUCAGCGGUGAAAGUCUGUGGCUCAACCAUAGAAUUGCCGUUGAAACUGGGGGGCUUGAGUAUGUUUGAGGCAGGCGGAAUGCGUGGUGUAGCGGUGAAAUGCAUAGAUAUCACGCAGAACCCCGAUUGCGAAGGCAGCCUGCCAAGCCAUUACUGACGCUGAUGCACGAAAGCGUGGGGAUCAAACAGGAUUAGAUACCCUGGUAGUCCACGCAGUAAACGAUGAUCACUAGCUGUUUGCGAUACACUGUAAGCGGCACAGCGAAAGCGUUAAGUGAUCCACCUGGGGAGUACGCCGGCAACGGUGAAACUCAAAGGAAUUGACGGGGGCCCGCACAAGCGGAGGAACAUGUGGUUUAAUUCGAUGAUACGCGAGGAACCUUACCCGGGUUUGAACGCAUUCGGACCGAGGUGGAAACACCUUUUCUAGCAAUAGCCGUUUGCGAGGUGCUGCAUGGUUGUCGUCAGCUCGUGCCGUGAGGUGUCGGCUUAAGUGCCAUAACGAGCGCAACCCUUGCCACUAGUUACUAACAGGUAAAGCUGAGGACUCUGGUGGGACUGCCAGCGUAAGCUGCGAGGAAGGCGGGGAUGACGUCAAAUCAGCACGGCCCUUACAUCCGGGGCGACACACGUGUUACAAUGGCGUGGACAAAGGGAAGCCACCUGGCGACAGGGAGCGAAUCCCCAAACCACGUCUCAGUUCGGAUCGGAGUCUGCAACCCGACUCCGUGAAGCUGGAUUCGCUAGUAAUCGCGCAUCAGCCAUGGCGCGGUGAAUACGUUCCCGGGCCUUGUACACACCGCCCGUCAAGCCAUGGGAGCCGGGGGUACCUGAAGUCCGUAACCGCGAGGAUCGGCCUAGGGUAAAACUGGUGACUGGGGCUAAGUCGUAACAAGGUAGCCGUACCGGAAGGUGCGGCUGGAACACCUCCUU
rnacentral:rRNA from 1 species